rnacentral:rRNA from 1 species
GGACUGCUAAUACCGCAUGUCAGGUCGGAAAACCCUGGUUUCUGGACGAAAAAGAGGGCGCCCGCAAGGGGCUCUCACCACGAGAUGAGUCCGCGGCCAUCAGCUAGUUGGCGGUGUAAUAGACCACCAAGGCUAAGACGGGUAGCUGGUCUGAGAGGAUGACCAGCCACACUGGGACUGAGACACGGCCAGACUCCUACGGGAGGCAGCAGUGGGGAAUAUUGGACAAUGGGCGAAAGCCUGAUCCAGCCAUGCCGCGUGAGUGAUGAAGGUCUUCGGAUCGUAAAGCUCUGUGGGAAGGGACGAAAAAGCCUAACCUAAUACGUUAGGUCUUGACGGUACCUUCUUAGCAAGCACCGGCUAACUCCGUGCCAGCAGCCGCGGUAAUACGGAGGGUGCAAACGUUGCUCGGAAUUAUUGGGCGUAAAGCGCACGUAGGCGGUCCGCUAAGUCGGAUGUGAAAGCCCUCGGCUUAACCGAGGAAGUGCAUCCGAAACUGACGGGCUAGAGUACGGAAGAGGGCG